rnacentral:rRNA from 1 species
GACGAACGCUGGCGGCGUGCUUAACACAUGCUAGUCGAACGGAAAGGCCCUGCUUUUGUGGGGUGCUCGAGUGGCGAACGGGUGUGUAACACGUGAGUAACCUGCCCUUGACUUUGGGAUAACUUCAGGAAACUGGGGCUAAUACCGGAUAGGAGCUCCUGCUGCAUGGUGGGUGUUGGAAAGUUUCGGCGGUUGGUGAUGGACUCGCGGCUUAUCAUCUUGUUGGUGGGGUAGUGGAUUAGCAAGGCUUUGACGGGUAGCCGGCCUGAGAAGGUGUCCGGCCACUUUGGGACUGAGAUACGGACCACACUAAUACGGGGAGCAGCAGUGAGGAAUAUUGCACGAUGGCCGGAAGCCUGAAGCAGCAACGCCGCGUGAGGGAGGACGUCAUUCGGGUAGUAGACCACUUUCGCAAGUGACGAAGCGUAAGUGACGGUAAUGAGUAAAGAGGCACCGGCUAACUACGUG